AGAGAAUUCACAGCUUGCCUUCCGUGCAGUGCUCAUCCAGUGCCUUGAGCUCUCUGCCCUUCAGCCCCAGGAAAGAUGGGCCCAUGGCUUAGCUUGAUUCUCAUGGCAGCAGCUCUGCAAGGUACCUGGUCCCAGGUGCAGCUGGUGGAAUCUGGCGGAGAUGUGAGGAAGCCUGGAGACUCUCUGCGCCUCUCCUGCAAAGCCUCUGGGUUCACCUUUGGAGAUUACUGGAUGAGCUGGGUGCGACAGGCUCCUGGGAAGGGGCUGGAGUGGGUUGCCAAGAUUAGUUACUGGGCUGGGAGUACCAUAAACUACGUUAACUCGGUGAAGGGGAGAUUCACCAUCUCCAGGGACAACCCAAAGAAUCUGCUGCACCUGCAGAUGAACAGCCUGAAACCUGAGGACACAGCCCUGUAUUACUGUACCAGACACACAGGUUUUCAAACUGUUCCACGGGACCCUAGGGUUCUGCGCUGGGUCAUCAGGGGUUUGUUCUGCAAAGAGAUUGGAGGUGUCAGCUCCCAGAUCCAGAUGACACAGUCUGGGGCAGAAGUCAAGAAGUCUGGGGAGUCGGCCAAGCUGAGCUGUAAAACCUCUGGCUACACAUUCACCGACUACAACGUGAUCUGGAUAUAUCAACUGUCCAGGAAAGGAUUAAAGAGUUGA